CCAGAGUGCCACUUUGAAUGGUUAAUUGGAGAUAAGUGUCUCACGGAGACUUUCGUUUCUGUCUGGGCUGGCUUUGAACUGUAAUCCUCAGAUCUCAGCCUCCUGAGUAGCUAGGAUUAUAAGGCCUGAGCCCUUGAUGCCUGGUUGUAUCACUAACUAUAAAAACAUUUGCUGGUUGUUGAUGGUGACAAAUGUGGUACAUGAUCAUUAUUAAAUGUUUUAAAAAUUACAAAAACAUACAGUAAAGGAGGGAAAACCUAUAUAAUCAAAUUAUCAAAAGCAGCUACUAUUCACAGCUUAUACUAUAUUACCUCUACAGCAACUUUAUAAUUUUAUAUGGAAUGGAAUCAGUAAGCCAAUCUAUGGUGUGAAUGAGGCUACAGUUAUGUAACUACCUUCUCAUCCCAAUUUUGGUUUUACUUCCAUAUUACAAACAUGGAAUCACACCUGUUUUCAAACCUCUAGUAACUAGCCUAAUCUAACCAAUUUCUCUGUGAAGCACUUCCACAAUGUAACUUUCUAAUGAGGGAAACAGAAAGACAAGUAACUAUAAGGUAUUGGUAAGUGAAACAAGUCAACACAAGGAGGAAGGGCUAAGCAACUGCCCAGCACAUGUUCUAAAAGCCUUGGAGGAGGGUCUCUUGGAGGACUGUCCCUUUCCUGUCCACUUCUGGGGCUGAGAAAAGACACUUGAACAAUAACUUCAUUCUGGGGCCAUCCCAAUUUCUACAUGCAGGCAUCAGGCUGUUUGUGGCCAGUGCCACUCAGUUUCACUCCUUCCAGGGGCUAGCAGCCAGUCACCCAGAGAUGCCUGAAGGGCUGACACAGGACGUUGGCAAAAAAUUUGUCCCCUGGGAUUGUGGACCAAAUACUCCUAUGUCUGUUUGAGACUCCACCUUUGAGCAUAAACAGGGUGCCUGCCAUGUGCAACCCAAAGACUCGACUCAAACUCAAGGCCCAUCCAUGGUGCCUUCCUGAGGUACUCUUCCGCUUGCUGAAGUCAGAAAGUGGAGCACCAGUUCAUCAUCCAAGUAUCUCAAUUAAAAUCCUCUAACCAGCAGUGCUUCUAACUCAUCAUAUCUCACAUUUGCCAUUUCUCUCCAUCCCCACUAGCUUAUCCUACUAGUUCUCCUCUGCAACAUUCUAGCAGUUUUGAAACCAGUCCCGUUGACGCCUCCAUUUUAUAUUCCUUCUGAUCCAUUCCUAGAAGGGCAGCUAGGGCAAAGGGUAUGGCCUCGGCUCCAGGCCCAGCCUCCAUCGCUCCGGUUCCACAGGCU